rnacentral:rRNA from 1 species
CCUGCCCCUAAGUCUGGGAUACCAUUUGGAAACAGGUGCUAAUACCGGAUAAUAAAGCAGAUCGCAUGAUCAGCUUUUGAAAGGCGGCGUAAGCUGUCGCUAAGGGAUGGUCCCGCGGUGCAUUAGCUAGUUGGUAAGGUAACGGCUUACCAAGGCGACGAUGCAUAGCCGAGUUGAGAGACUGAUCGGCCACAUUGGGACUGAGACACGGCCCAAACUCCUACGGGAGGCAGCAGUAGGGAAUCUUCCACAAUGGACGCAAGUCUGAUGGAGCAACGCCGCGUGAGUGAAGAAGGUUUUCGGAUCGUAAAGCUCUGUUGUUGGUGAAGAAGGAUAGAGGUAGUAACUGGCCUUUAUUUGACGGUAAUCAACCAGAAAGUCACGGCUAACUACGUGCCAGCAGCCGCGGUAAUACGUAGGUGGCAAGCGUUGUCCGGAUUUAUUGGGCGUAAAGCGAGCGCAGGCGGAAAAAUAAGUCUAAUGUGAAAGCCCUCGGCUUAACCGAGGAACUGCAUCGGAAAACUGUUUUUCUUGAGUGCAGAAGAGGAGAGUGGAACUCCAUGUGUAGCGGUGGAAUGCGUAGAUAUAUGGAAAGAACACCAGUGGCGAAGGCGGCUCUCUGGGUCUGCAACUGACGCUGAAGGCUCGAAAGCAUGGGUAGCGAACAGGAAUUAGAUACCCUGGGUAGUCCAUGCCGGUAAACGAUG